rnacentral:rRNA from 1 species
GAUGAACGCUAGCUACAGGCUUAACACAUGCAAGUCGAGGGGCAGCAUGAAAGGAACUUCGGCUCUUUUUGAUGGCGACCGGCGCACGGGUGCGUAACGCGUAUCGAACCUGCCUCAUACUCGGGGAUAGCCUUGCGAAAGUAAGAUUAAUACCCGGCGGUCUCGGAUGGCCGCAUGACUGUCCGAGUGAAGAUUUAUCGGUAUGAGAUGGCGAUGCGUCCCAUUAGCUUGUUGGUGAGGUAACGGCUCACCAAGGCAUCGAUGGGUAGGGGUUCUGAGAGGAAGGUCCCCCACAUUGGAACUGAGACACGGUCCAAACUCCUACGGGAGGCAGCAGUGAGGAAUAUUGGUCAAUGGACGAAAGUCUGAACCAGCCAAGUAGCGUGCAGGAUGACGGCCCUCUGGGUUGUAAACUGCUUUUAGUUGGGAAUAAAAAGAGGGACGUGUCCCUUAUUGUAUGUACCAUCAGAAAAAGGACCGGCUAAUUCCGUGCCAGCAGCCGCGGUAAUACGGAAGGUCCAGGCGUUAUCCGGAUUUAUUGGGUUUAAAGGGAGCGCAGGCGGCGGCGUAAGUCAGUUGUGAAAUCGUGCGGCUUAACCGUGCAAUUGCAGUUGAUACUGCGUCGCUUGAGUGCACACAGGGAUGUUGGAAUUCAUGGUGUAGCGGUGAAAUGCUUAGAUAUCAUGAAGAACUCCGAUCGCGAAGGCAUAUGUCCGGAGUGCAACUGACGCUGAGGCUCGAAAGUGUGGGUAUCAAACAGG